rnacentral:misc_RNA from 1 species
AACGCAUAUUGCGCCCGAGGCCUUUGGCCAAGGGCAUGUCUGCCUCAGCGUCGGGUUAAUACUCGCCCCCUCUUCUCAUAUGAGUAGAACCGGGCGGAUCUGGUUGUUCCAGCAAUCAUUCAUUGAGAGCUGGAUCAGCUGAAGCACAGAGGCUAACCAAGGACCCGUCAAGGGCCGCAACUGGGUGGGCAGCUCACGCUUGCUAUAUCAUCUUGGUUGUUGGUCUGGGACUUUGUUGUUCGGCCCAAAACAGGAAACCCUUCUUUAUUUUCUCGACCUGAGCUCAGGCAAGAACACCCGCUGAACUUAA